rnacentral:rRNA from 1 species
GGCUCAGACAGCCAGGAUGUUGGCUUAGAAGCAGCCAUCAUUUAAAGAAAGCGUAAUAGCUCACUGGUCGAGUCGGCCUGCGCGGAAGAUGUAACGGGGCUAAGUAGUAAACCGAAGCUGCGGCAAUGUACUUUAGUGCAUUGGGUAGGGGAGCGUUCUGUAAGCGGUUGAAGGUGUGUGGUAACGCAUGCUGGACGUAUCAGAAGUGCGAAUGCUGACAUGAGUAACGAUAAAGGGGGUGAAAAACCUCCUCGCCGGAAGACCAAGGGUUCCUGUCCAACGUUAAUCGGGGCAGGGUAAGUCGACCCCUAAGGCGAGGCCGAAAGGCGUAGUCGAUGGGAAACGGGUUAAUAUUCCCGUACUUCUUACAAUUGCGAUGGGGGGACGGAGAAGGCUAGGUGGGCCUGGCGACGGUUGUCCAGGUUCAAGUGCGUAGGCUGAGAAAUUAGGUAAAUCCGGUUUCUCUUAAGGCUGAGACACGACGUCGAGCAUCUACGGAUGUGAAGUCAUUGAUGCCAUGCUUCCAGGAAAAGCCUCUAAGCUUCAGAUUGUAAGGAAUCGUACCCCAAACCGACACAGGUGGUCGGGUAGAGAAUACCAAGGCGCUUGAGAGAACUCGGGUGAAGGAACUAGGCAAAAUGGUACCGUAACUUCGGGAGAAGGUACGCUCUCGACGGUGAAGUCCCUUGCGGAUGGAGCUAUUGAGAGUCGCAGAUACCAGGUGGCUGCAACUGUUUAUUAAAAACACAGCACUGUGCAAAAUCGCAAGAUGACGUAUACGGUGUGACGCCUGCCCGGUGCCGGAAGGUUAAUUG